rnacentral:rRNA from 1 species
ACUUAUACGGUGAAACUGCGAAUGGCUCAUUAAAUCAGUUAUCGUUUAUUUGAUAGUACCUUACUACAUGGAUACCCGUGGUAAUUCUAGAGCUAAUACAUGCUGAAAACCCCGACUUCGGAAGGGGUGUAUUUAUUAGAUAAAAAACCAAUGCCCUCCGGGGCUUCUUGGUGAUUCAUAAUAACUCAACGAAUCGCAUGGCCUUGAGCCGGCGAUGGUUCAUUCAAAUUUCUGCCCUAUCAACUUUCGAUGGUAGGAUAGUGGCCUACCAUGGUAUCAACGGGUAACGGGGAAUUAGGGUUCGAUUCCGGAGAGGGAGCCUGAGAAACGGCUACCACAUCCAAGGAAGGCAGCAGGCGCGCAAAUUACCCAAUCCCGACACGGGGAGGUAGUGACAAUAAAUACUGAUACAGGGCUCUUUUGGGUCUUGUAAUCGGAAUGAGUACAAUUCAAAUCUCUUAACGAGGAACAAUUGGAGGGCAAGUCUGGUGGACCUCAGCUCCCAUUGCUGACGCCAGAGAGAGCUGCCCGGGUCUCGGGACCCGGGCAGCUAGUCGAGCACCCUACGUCCUGAUAGGCGGGUGCCGGCAAGACAACCUGGAUCGGGGAAGGCUACGGCGUCCUGGACGCUACGCUGAUCCCGAGCUGAGCGGCGGCCGAGCGAUCCGCGUCGCCAGUGUAGAGCACGCAAAGGUGUCGGUCGACUCCCCGAGUCGGCUUAAGGUACGUGCCAUUCCCGUCCGAAAGGGCGGNCCGUCCCUCGAGCGCCUAUCACGCGAAGAGGACGGGCGGGCCCCCCGCCGGGGGGCCCCGCAACGGAAGGCCAGCAGCCGCGGUAAUUCCAGCUCCAAUAGCGUAUAUUAAAGUUGUUGCAGUUAAAAAGCUCGUAGUUGAACCUUGGGUUCGGCUGGCCGGUCCGCCUAACCGCGUGCACUGGUCUGGCCGGGCCCUUACCUCUGGGGAGCUGCAUGCCCUUCACUGGGCGUGUCAGGGAACCAGGACUUUUACUUUGAAAAAAUUAGAGUGUUCAAAGCAGGCCUUUGCUCGGAUACAUUAGCAUGGAAUAAUAGAAUAGGACGUGCGAUCCUAUUUUGUUGGUUUCUAGGAUUGCCGUAAUGAUUAAUAGGGACAGUCGGGGGCAUCAGUAUUCAGCCGUCAGAGGUGAAAUUCUUGGAUCGGCUGAAGACUAGCUACUGCGAAAGCAUUUGCCAAGGAUGUUUUCAUUAAUCAGGGAACGAAAGUUGGGGGAUCGAAGACGAUCAGAUACCGUCGUAGUCUCAACCGUAAACUAUGCCGACUAGGGAUCGGGCGACGUUCCAAUUUUGACUCGCCCGGCACCUUACGAGAAAUCAAAGUUUUUGGNUC